rnacentral:rRNA from 1 species
UUGGAGGGCAAGUCUGGUGCCAGCAGCCGCGGUAAUUCCAGCUCCAAUAGCGUAUAUUAAAGUUGUUGCAGUUAAAAAGCUCGUAGUUGAAUUUCGGGAUUGACGUGAUGGUCAUGCCUUAAGGGGUAUGAACUGUUACUGUUGAUUUCUCACCUUCUGGAGAAACUUGAUGUCCUUUAUUGGGUGUCUUGCGGAUCCAGGACCUUUACCUUGAAAAAAUUAGAGUGUUUAAAGCAGGCAUUUUUGCUCGAAUACAUUAGCAUGGAAUAAUAGAAUAGGACGGCAUGGUUCUAUUUUGUUGGUUUCUAGGAUCACCGUAAUGAUUAAUAGGGAUAGUUGGGGGCAUUAGUAUUCAAUUGUCAGAGGUGAAAUUCUUGGAUUUAUUGAAGACUAACUACUGCGAAAGCAUUUGCCAAGGAUGUUUUCAUUAAUCAAGAACGGAAGUUAGGGGAUCGAAGACGAUCAGAUACCGUCGUAGUCUUAACCAUAAACUAUGCCGACUAGGAAUCAGACGAUGUUAAUUUUUUAAUGACUCGUUUGGCGCCUUAUGGGAAACCAAAG